rnacentral:rRNA from 1 species
AGUGGCGAACGGGUGAGUAAUAUAUCGGAACGUACCCAAGAGUGGGGGAUAACGUAGCGAAAGUUACGCUAAUACCGCAUACGAUCUAAGGAUGAAAGCAGGGGACCGCAAGGCCUUGUGCUCCUGGAGCGGCCGAUAUCUGAUUAGCUAGUUGGUGAGGUAAAGGCUCACCAAGGCAACGAUCAGUAGCUGGUCUGAGAGGACGACCAGCCACACUGGAACUGAGACACGGUCCAGACUCCUACGGGAGGCAGCAGUGGGGAAUUUUGGACAAUGGGGGCAACCCUGAUCCAGCAAUGCCGCGUGAGUGAAGAAGGCCUUCGGGUUGUAAAGCUCUUUUGUCAGGGAAGAAAAGGUCGUGGCUAAUAUCCACGACUGCUGACGGUACCUGAAGAAUAAGCACCGGCUAACUACGUGCCAGCAGCCGCGGUAAUACGUAGGGUGCAAGCGUUAAUCGGAAUUACUGGGCGUAAAGCGUGCGCAGGCGGUUUCGUAAGUCUGUCGUGAAAUCCCCGGGCUUAACCUGGGAAUGGCGAUGGAGACUGCGAGGCUAGAGUUUGGCAGAGGGGGGUAGAAUUCCACGUGUAGCAGUGAAAUGCGUAGAGAUGUGGAGGAACACCGAUGGCGAAGGCAGCCCCCUGGGGUCAAAACUGACGCUCAUGCACGAAAGCGUGGGGAGCAAACAGGAUUAGAUACCCUGGUAGUCCACGCCCUAAACGAUGUCUACUAGUUGUUGGGUCUUAAUUGACUUAGUAACGCAGCUAACGCGUGAAGUAGACCGCCUGGGGAGUACGGUCGCAGAUUAAAACUCAAAGGAUUGACGGGACCCGCACAAGCGGUGGAUGAUGUGGAUUAUUCGAUGCACGCGAAAACCUUACCUACCUGACAUGCAGAUCCUGGAGAGAUCUGGGAGUGCUCGGAAGAGAGCUGCACACAGGUGCUGCAUGCUGUCGUCAGCUC